GAUGAACGCUGGCGGCGUGCCUAAUACAUGCAAGUCGAGCGAACAGACGAGGAGCUUGCUCCUCUGACGUUAGCGGCGGACGGGUGAGUAACACGUGGAUAACCUACCUAUAAGACUGGGAUAACUUCGGGAAACCGGAGCUAAUACCGGAGAAUAUAUUGAACCGCAUGGUUCAAUAGUGAAAGACGGUUUUGCUGUCACUUAUAGAUGGAUCCGCGCCGCAUUAGCUAGUUGGUAAGGUAACGGCUUACCAAGGCGACGAUGCGUAGCCGACCUGAGAGGGUGAUCGGCCACACUGGAACUGAGACACGGUCCAGACUCCUACGGGAGGCAGCAGUAGGGAAUCUUCCGCUAUGGGCGAAAGCCUGACGGAGCAACGCCGCGUGAGUGAUGAAGGUCUUCGGAUCGUAAAACUCUGUUAUUAGGGAAGAACAAAUGUGUAAGUAACUAUGCACGUCUUGACGGUACCUAAUCAGAAAGCCACGGCUAACUACGUG
rnacentral:rRNA from 1 species